rnacentral:lncRNA from 1 species
UAUUUAUCAUCUAAUAAGACAAACACACAGAAGCACUUCCCCCAUCAGGUUCCAUUGCCAGAGGCCCAAUAGACUGCUCAAGCCCUGAAACUGACACUCACAUUCCGGGGGCCUGGUUCAGUCUUAUGUUGUUUCCCCAGGAGUUCAGCUCAGUGCUUAGCUGUGGGUGUCUGCUUCUGCUUCCAUCAGCUACUGGAUGAAAGCUCUAGGAUGGCAUUUAAGGAAGUCAUCAAUCUCAUUACAGGGGAAGGGCAUUGAAGGUCGCCCUCAUAUAGUGGAAACCUGCGCUUUCCUGGAUGGAGAUGGAAGAGGAAGGGAUUGGGCAGAGGCUGUGGCCUGGAUGUAAAAUAAAUAGAUGAAUAAAAAAUGAAACAAAGAAAAACGGAAGUGACUAAACA